AAUUGAAGAGACCAUAGAAACCUCAUGCUGGAGAUAUUUUCUGAGCUCAUCGGAAACGUCCUCAGGAUUUAUUUACUUUGCCAGGAAUGCCUGUAUACUUGGCUCUUUCUGACUGAGGGCUUCAACCCCAGUGAAGAAAGUAUGAUACUUUUCUUGGAAAAGUGGGAAGAAUAACCUCCGCAUCAGCCAGCAUGGGAUGAAGAAAAUAGUGUGUCCAUCAGAGCAUCAUAGGACAGAAAGAGUCCUGAAUCCACAGAUCUCUGGAAGCUUUUUGGAGAGAAAAGGAAGCCAGGUUGCUGCAGCCUGCAUUGCACCUUCCCCAGCCACCCAGAACCACCAG